AUUGAACGCUGGCGGCAUGCCUUACACAUGCAAGUCGAACGGCAGCACGGGGGCAACCCUGGUGGCGAGUGGCGAACGGGUGAGUAAUGCAUCGGAACGUGCCCAGUAGUGGGGGAUAACCAGUCGAAAGGCUGGCUAAUACCGCAUACGACCUACGGGUGAAAGCGGGGGACCGUAAGGCCUCGCGCUAUUGGAGCGGCCGAUGUCUGAUUAGCUAGUUGGCGGGGUAAGAGCCCACCAAGGCGACGAUCAGUAGCUGGUCUGAGAGGACGACCAGCCACACUGGGACUGAGACACGGCCCAGACUCCUACGGGAGGCAGCAGUGGGGAAUUUUGGACAAUGGGCGCAAGCCUGAUCCAGCCAUGCCGCGUGCGGGAAGAAGGCCUUCGGGUUGUAAACCGCUUUUGGCAGGAACGAAACGGCGCAAGCCAAUACCUUGCGCUAAUGACGGUACCUGCAGAAUAAGCACCGGCUAACUACGUGCCAGCAGCCGCGGUAA
rnacentral:rRNA from 1 species